UGGAAGUCAAUUUUUGUUUAAUGUUUGAUGUAAUGAGAUUUUCAAGAUAUUGUUAAAAUCAAUAAAAAUUUAAAGAAAGGAAAAAAAAGACACUAGGUGACAGACUGACAGCUGGGGUUUGGUCUCAUGAGAUAAAGCAGAGCUAUACUGGGAUUUUAAACAUGGUUGUGUUUUUUUCCAUAAGAACAUAGGAAGCAGCCUUAUACCAGUUCAGACACUUGGUCCAUCUCGCUCUGUAUAGUUUACCCUGACUGUUGCUAAACCAACAGGAGUCAAUAAUGAAUACUACAUUAUUAAGGAAAGAGGCGUUCUUCAUACACCUGUUUAAGACUUAUAUUGGAGGUCUUAAUACCAAUCAAGAUCUUUCGUGUUUUUUGGGAGAACAUUAGGAAAGAGAGGAAUGCACACAGUUACUUUGGAAUAUCUAUGGAUGCUGUUAUCAUGAGUUUUACAGAAUCAGGAGAGAAAGAAGAAGCUACCUGAUUAAUUUGGUAAAAGGAUGCAGCUGUGGGUCAUUAAAACUUAGCGUGCUUAAUUGUGGAUCAGUUUUAAAAGGAAGAGUGAGUGCAGAGAUUCUAAGCAUGUCUCCACAGGCGCAUUAGUCUAAACACCGUGGUAAGAUAAGGCCGGUAACAGAAUGUUUAUCUGAAGAAGUAACAAUUAGUUAUGAAACAGAUUAAUAUCCGGAAAAUCUGUAAUAUUGCAUAUCGUUCACUGUACUGCACAUGGAUUUGGCUUUGAAAGCGUAAGAUUAAAUUACGCAGAUUGUCUCCACUUGGAAUAUAUGGAGAAGGAGACGUACCAUCAUAUUACUGAAUUAAGAAGAGAAACAUCCUCCCCACUGGAUUCCACGGGAUUUGCACUUCUACUGUGAACUAAUACAACUACAGGAUAAGAACGGUUUAUCCCUAUAUGGGAAGUUGUAACAUACAUCUGGGGGAAUACUUCAUAUUAUUAUAUAUGUUUAUGCACUUUGUCAUAUCCAGCGUGCAAGCCACUUUGGCUCUGAUAUGUUUAUCAGAUAAAUUCAUUGUGGAAGUUAA